rnacentral:rRNA from 2 species
GCUUUAACACUGAGGCGUGAUGACGAGGCACCACGGUGCUGAAGCAACAAAUGCCCUGCUUCCAGGAAAAGCCUCUAAGCUCCAGGUAACACGAAAUCGUACCCCAAACCGACACAGGUGGUCAGGUAGAGAAUACCAAGGCGCUUGAGAGAACUCGGGUGAAGGAACUAGGCAAAAUGGUGCCGUAACUUCGGGAGAAGGCACGCUGAUGCGUAGGUGAAGCGACCUGCUCGUGGAGCUGAAAUCAGUCGAAGAUACCAGCUGGCUGCAACUGUUUAUUAAAAACACAGCACUGUGCAAACACGAAAGUGGACGUAUACGGUGUGACGCCUGCCCGGUGCCGGAAGGUUAAUUGAUGGGGUUAUCCGUAAGGAGAAGCUCUUGAUCGAAGCCCCGGUAAACGGCGGCCGUAACUAUAACGGUCCUAAGGUAGCGAAAUUCCUUGUCGGGUAAGUUCCGACCUGCACGAAUGGCGUAAUGAUGGCCAGGCUGUCUCCACCCGAGACUCAGUGAAAUUGAACUCGCUGUGAAGAUGCAGUGUACCCGCGGCAAGACGGAAAGACCCCGUGAACCUUUACUAUAGCUUGACACUGAACAUUGAGCCUUGAUGUGUAGGAUAGGUGGGAGGCUUUGAAGCGUGGACGCCAGUCUGCGUGGAGCCAACCUUGAAAUACCACCCUUUAAUGUUUGAUGUUCUAACGUGGACCCGUAAACCGGGUUGCGGACAGUGUCUGGUGGGUAGUUUGACUGGGGCGGUCUCCUCCUAAAGCGUAACGGAGGAGCACGAAGGUCAGCUAAUCCUGGUCGGACAUCAGGAGGUUAGUGCAAUGGCAUAAGCUGGCUUGACUGCGAGCGUGACGGCGCGAGCAGGUGCGAAAGCAGGUCAUAGUGAUCCGGUGGUUCUGAAUGGAAGGGCCAUCGCUCAACGGAUAAAAGGUACUCCGGGGAUAACAGGCUGAUACCGCCCAAGAGUUCAUAUCGACGGCGGUGUUUGGCACCUCGAUGUCGGCUCAUCACAUCCUGGGGCUGAAGUAGGUCCCAAGGGUAUGGCUGUUCGCCAUUUAAAGUGGUACGCGAGCUGGGUUUAGAACGUCGUGAGACAGUUCGGUCCCUAUCUGCCGUGGGCGCUGGAGAACUGAGGGGGGCUGCUCCUAGUACGAGAGGACCGGAGUGGACGCAUCACUGGUGUUCGGGUUGUCAUGCCAAUGGCACUGCCCGGUAGCUAAAUGCGGAAGAGAUAAGUGCUGAAAGCAUCUAAGCACGAAACUUGCCCCGAGAUGAGUUCUCCCUGACCCUU